GAUGAACGCUGGCGGCGUGCCUAAUACAUGCAAGUCGAGCGAACGGACGAGAAGCUUGCUUCUCUGAUGUUAGCGGCGGACGGGUGAGUAACACGUGGAUGACCUACCUAUAAGACUGGGAUAACUUCGGGAAACCGGAGCUAAUACCGGAUAAUAUUUCGAACCGCAUGGUUCAAAAGUGAAAGACGGUCUUGCUGUCACUUAUAGAUGGAUCCGCGCUGCAUUAGCUAGUUGGUAAGGUAACGGCUUACCAAGGCAACGAUGCAUAGCCGACCUGAGAGGGUGAUCGGCCACACUGGAACUGAGACACGGUCCAGACUCCUACGGGAGGCAGCAGUAGGGAAUCUUCCGCAAUGGGCGAAAGCCUGACGGAGCAACGCCGCGUGAGUGAUGAAGGUCUUCGGAUCGUAAAACUCUGUUAUUAGGGAAGAACAUAUGUGUAAGUAACUGUGCACAUCUUGACGGUACCUAAUCAGAAAGCCACGGCUAACUACGUGCCAGCAGCCGCGGUAAUACGUAGGUGGCAAGCGUUAUCCGGAAUUAUUGGGCGUAAAGCGCGCGUAGGCGGUUUUUUAAGUCUGAUGUGAAAGCCCACGGCUCAACCGUGGAGGGUCAUUGGAAACUGGAAAACUUGAGUGCAGAAGAGGAAAGUGGAAUUCCAUGUGUAGCGGUGAAAUGCGCAGAGAUAUGGAGGAACACCAGUGGCGAAGGCGACUUUCUGGUCUGUAACUGACGCUGAUGUGCGAAAGCGUGGGGAUCAAACAGGAUUAGAUACCCUGGUAGUCCACGCCGUAAACGAUGAGUGCUAAGUGUUAGGGGGUUUCCGCCCCUUAGUGCUGCAGCUAACGCAUUAAGCACUCCGCCUGGGGAGUACGACCGCAAGGUUGAAACUCAAAGGAAUUGACGGGGACCCGCACAAGCGGUGGAGUAUGUGGUUUAAUUCGAAGCAACGCGAAGAACCUUACCAAAUCUUGACAUCCUUUGACAACUCUAGAGAUAGAGCCUUCCCCUUCGGGGGGGCAAAGUGACAGGUGGUGCAUGGUUGUCGUCAGCUCGUGUCGUGAGAUGUUGGGUUAAGUCCCGCAACGAGCGCAACCCUUAAGCUUAGUUGCCAUCAUUAAGUUGGGCACUCUAAGUUGACUGCCGGUGACAAACCGGAGGAAGGUGGGGAUGACGUCAAAUCAUCAUGCCCCUUAUGAUUUGGGCUACACACGUGCUACAAUGGACAAUACAAAGGGCAGCGAAACCGCGAGGUCAAGCAAAUCCCAUAAAGUUGUUCUCAGUUCGGAUUGUAGUCUGCAACUCGACUACAUGAAGCUGGAAUCGCUAGUAAUCGUAGAUCAGCAUGCUACGGUGAAUACGUUCCCGGGUCU
rnacentral:rRNA from 1 species